rnacentral:rRNA from 1 species
UACAGAGGGGGCAAGCGUUGUUCGGAAUUACUGGGCGUAAAGGGCGCGUAGGCGGCCUUCUAAGUCGAACGGGAAAUCCCCGGGCUCAACCCGGGAACUGCGUCCGAGACUGAAAGGCUCGAAUCCGGGAGAGGGAUGUGGAAUUCCAGGUGUAGCGGUGAAAUGCGUAGAUAUCGGAAGGAACAUCAGUGGCGAAGGCGGCUACCUGGAUUGAUACUGACACUGAGGCGCGAGAGCGUGGGGAGCAAACAGG